UAAACCCAUCACUUAGUCAUGAACAAAAGUUAAAGCCUCGUUUAGUAACGCCUUCAAAUAUUCGUUUUAUUUCGGAAUUAUAACAUGAAGCCCGUUUUUAUAGACAUUUCCAAUAAAGAUAAAGGGAACAGCGGGGAGUCUAGUGACAUUGAUCUACUGGAGUUGCUCCUGGAUUGUCACCUAUUCCUUCAAUUUUCUCAUGGAAUGGAGCUCUGCAGGUACGAAACAGAAAUUUCGAUGGAUGUUUUUAUCUCCCCGUAUUACGAUAUGUUUCUUUGAAGAUUAACUUUUUCGACCUCGAAUUGUUGAUCAGGGACAUUUUUCAUAUUCGCUGGAAUCUCAUGUGGUGCUGUUCUGUUCAUUGCGAAAUUGGUGCCGGAGACUAAGGGGAGAACUUUGGAAGAACUUGAGGCUUCUUUCACUAGGUCUAGUGAUAUUGUUUGCUAAUGUAAAUGAUUUGGUGUAGAGAUGAGAUCCAUACAGAGUAAAUUUACAAUGUAUUAUGGGAAAAUUUGUUGAUAUGUGUAUAUGGACGAUGGCACAAACAACUUGUUUCACACAAUUUUUCUAUAUAUAUAAAAAAUUGUACUCAUUAUAGUCAAUUUUUAUGAGUGCAAUAGACCAUAGUUGUAGCCCAGUCGCGGUGGCAGGGCCUCUUUCGAGUCACAAUCCAGCUUAUUUUUGGAUCAAGAAUUCUUAUAUUUAUAAGACGAUUAAUAUAUUUGUAUAUCGAUACAAUGCAUUGAACAAUCACAAAUUUGAGCUUUUAUGAGUAGAUUAUGCACUAAAGAACACCUGGGUUUCUUCAAUGACAAGUAAUUACUCGCUUACCUUAUUUUAAUUAUAUUUCUAGUUAUGCCAAACCAAAAUUCCAUUAACUUGUAAGAGUUUAGGUGAAGCAUGAUGAUAUCUUGGCUUGUAAGGUACAACAACGAGAUCACCGGCUAAUUUUGGACUUCUUCUCCCAACUAAUAUAAGAACUUAUAGUACUUAUCAAAUAGGUUUGUGAGCUCGGCCUAGUGUAUUUUAUACUUGAUAUAGUAUUUUGAAUGUGAAAUUAAAUUUUUUAGAUAUGACGUAUUUUAUACUCGAUAUAGUGUAUUUUCCAUACCCGAUUAAGAUGUCCGGGCUCAUCCUAUUCUGAUUCCUGAUAUAAUCUUAUCAUAAACUUACGAAAGAACUCGUUGGUUAAGUCGACUAUAAUGGCAAGGCUGCAUAUGAAAUAUUUUAAAAAUAUUCGUCACGUUUGUUAUGGGUGAAUACUUUAAUGACGCCGGUAGUUGUUAUUGAAAGAAAAAUUGCUCCAAUUGAUGUGAUGAGCAAACUGCUGCAAAUAGUGACCUCCUGCUCCACUGGAAAGACAGGUUAAUAAUGGCUACCAAACAAAAACAUGGAACAGGGGGAUCAGGCCUCAAUAUUUUUGCAUAUGGGCUGGUUUGGCUUUUCAGAUUUGGAAAAUAUUUGGUGACUGAUUUGGUUAAAAUAUUAUAUUAAAAUAUAAAAGUGAAGUGCAAUUUAUAAGUAAUUUGAAAUUAUUUUAUAUAUGAUUUACGAGGUGAUUUGAAAUAUGAGAUUUGUCCGUAAGAAAAUAAUUUAAUUAUUUUUAAAUGAAGGAGGUAAAAUUAGGAGGGAUAUUAAAAUUUAUCUUUUCAUUCUCAAAAUAGACUUGAUAAUGGGGCGGGUUUGGGGCGGGGUAUCCGGUUCUCAUCUCCGUUUUUAAAAUUCAUCCUCAUCCCCAUUUUUAAAAUUCAUCCUCAUCCCCGUCCCCAUUCCUAUUCGAAUCUCAAUAUUCAUACACAUCCUCAAAUCUGUAGGUUUCGAAUAUCCGUGGGUAUCCCCAUCUCCUCACAAUUUUUAAAAAUAAAACUACCACAUAAAGGGUAACUCCGGAGGUGGAUUCGUGGAAUCGUGAUCGUAGAAAAUGGAGAGUCGCUCUGAAUUGGAAAUAAAAUUAGAGAUUUUAGGUUUAGGGUUAUAUUUGGUAACUAUCAAAUAAGGGUUGUAAGGUAAUUUUACACAUUGGGUAGGGUAUGGGUAUGGGUACGGGGUGGAGUAUCUAAACCCAUUCCUAACCCGUCCCCAUUCAUUUUUAGUGGAUAUUCUCCUACCCGCCCCGUCACCCAUUCAAUACGAGUAUUUUCCAUUCCGAUCGAAUUAAAUAUGGUCGAAUAUCCAUAAAUACAAAUAAUAUUAUUAAAUCUACCUCAAAACUCUACUAAACAAAUCAAUUAUUUAGGAAAUUACUAAUUAUUUCAAAUAAAAAUCGAACAGCACCUUAUCCUUGAAAAAUACCUACCCACUAAUAAAAAAGCACAAAUAAAACGUUGGAAAACUGGUGAAAAAGAUUAAAAUAAAUACUAGAUAACAUUAAUAAAUAAAUUAUAAUUUAAAUCACUGGCUUUUUUAUUAGAAAAUCAGUGGUUGAUUCAUGAUUGAAUCGAUAAGUCUGGAGUUCACUUUUGGAGCAACCAAAUGGCCCCACAGUUUGCAGCAUGAUAAUGAACCAUUGACACAUUCAACCAAAUGACGAACGCAAAUAGACCCCACUCAACACACACAAUCAUUCAUUCAUCCCCCUACUACACUCAAUUCUCACCCUAUCUCAUUAUCAACCACAUCCAGUUCAUAGAUGUAAAGGAAAUUGGAAUCCGGACGUGACAGAGGUAAUGAUUAUGGAGUUUGAUUUGUAGUUGAGAUUGAAAGUGAUUGUCUAGUUGUCAUUCAGAAUUUUAGUCAUUUUAUUGAGAAUGUCAGUGAAUUUGGAGUGUUGUUUAGGAGCACCGAAACCUCAUUGAAGAUUUUGAAAAUUGUACUUGGACGCACUGUCAAUGGAAAGUUGGUAUGACUGCUUAUAUUAUGACCCAUAAUAAGAUAAAUUAAAAUACCAUGACUGUGUGGGUGAAGAUAUCUCCAAUCUUCCUGAUUGACCAGCUCAAACUUGAUGAUGUAAUAUAUGACGGAGUUUAAUAAAAUCUUAUAGUUUUAAGUAAAAAAAGCCACAUCCGAUCAUAAUAAAUUAUGUUGUGUUUUGAAAAUUUAGAAUUUCUAAACUCGAAUUUAACACAUUUUAUUUAUAUAUUUUUAAUCUCUUAUGUAUUUUUGUUAUAUAUAUAAAAUCUCAUAUUCUUAAAGUUAACUUUUAAAAUGAGAAAAUACAAUAGACAUUUUUUACUAGGUCUAUUUAAAAAAAAAUGCAAUUCUCACUCCAAUUUCUCAUUGAAUAUUUUAUUUAGUAUAUUAGCUACAAGUGGUGUAUUAUUAACUGACGGAGUUCACUGCAACAAAAAAUCGAAUUCAUGAGCCUUGGAUCUCCCCAUUUGUUAAUUGUGAUGGGAAAAUGACAAUGAAAAUGAUAAAUCAUUUAUAUAUGUAUCUGUAGCUUCCACCAAAACAAUAUAAAUAAAACAACUCUAAGGUGAUCACAAAAAUAUUCUCAAGGGUCAGUGCACAUUUGGAAUCUUCUACUUGGCACACCACAUUUCUUUAAUCAAACUUUACAUAAUUAUUAUAUAAUCAUACAAUAUUGGUUGAAACUCGAUACCCUAUACUAUACCGAAUCGGUUCGACCAAUUCAGAUAACUGUUUCCGGUCCGGUUUAAAACAAUUGAAUUUCGGUGGCAAAUCUCAUUGGUUUGAUUUCUGGGGCCAACACCAAUAUAUAUGCUUUGAAAUCAUUCCGGAUAAUCCACACAACACAUGUGGUGUUUCCUCAUCACUACUUGAAAAGUUAAAAAAACUAUCUCAAGAAACCCAAACCAAAAUGGAGGAAGGUAGGCGUUUGCAGGCGAAGUUACUUCAGCCCGACUCAGUCGCCAUCGACGUGAAACAGCCGCCGCCGCCUGACUACAGCGACUCGUCGACAUCGUCACUGGCUAGUAAUGGUGGCGGGUCAACCCCGGCGGUCGUGUUUAGCACCACGGUUGCCUUCUCCGGUGCCAUCGCUAUGGGUUGCGCUGUGAGUACUCUAUGGUCACAACUGACAUGUUAUUUUUUUAUUUGUUUGCUUUCAUUUAUUCACACCGGCGGUUAAAAUUUGGAUGCGUUAUAAGAGUUCGCCGGAGCUUUUUGGAGGCAAAACAACGGUAAAAUAAGAAGCAAUGGGUUAAAAUAGCGGGUUGGCCCAGACCCGACUUGGGAAACCAGUCCACUAAUUAACUAAAGUCGUGCACUCGAGGUUGACCCGAAAAGUUACGGCACACGCGCACGCAGAGUGGGGCUUAUGAACAAGUGGAUUGCACGCGCGCCUGAAUUAGGGACGGACGACAGUGAUUGCCACACUUUCAAUUAUUGCACGCGCGUGUGCCGAUGUUGAGCGAGUGAAUGCCACACUUGGGAAGUUGUAUGGUACAAGAAUGUAACUUUCCACGGAAAUUUUACCCAAUUCGUAGAGAGGUGUAAUUUUCAUUUUUCUUUGUCGGCCGCCGAUGACCAUCGCCGUCUUCUUCUUCAUCGUCGAUGAUAGUUUUCUAACUCCGUUGAAGACAGAGCCGCCGACCAAACCAUGGAUCCCAAUUUCAAAAAGCCACCACCUCCGUCUCCUUCCGGCUUCUUCUCUUCCAUCGGAUUAGUCUCGAUUUGGUCGAGCUAAUCUGAUUUGCUUAGCUUCUCGUCUUAAUUGUAUACAAUUAUGAACUGUUAAAUUUACUGAUAAUCUGUGUUCGAUGCGGUGUUUUUACAGAUAGGAUACUCAUCACCAGCUGGGAAUGGGAUCAUGAAGGACCUCAAUCUCUCUGUUGCACAAGUAAAAUUCUUCUCCUUUUUCAAAUGAAAUUAAGGUUCUCGAAUUGAAAAUGACUCCAAAUCUCUGCAUCCAGUUCUCCGUUUUCGGUUCAAUAAUGACGAUUGGUGGGAUGAUUGGCUCGAUACUGACCGGGAAGAUGGCCGAUAUAAUUGGCCGAAAAGGCGUAAGCUUUCUUAUUCCUACUUAACUACUUUGAUGGCCAUCAGUCCAUUCACCCCUUUCGAUGAUUUGGUAAUCUUGUUUAUGGUUUUAACAGGCAAUGUGGGUAUCUGAGUUGUUCUUCAUCCUUGGUUGGUUAGCCAUAGUGUCUGCUAAGGUUAGAACAACUAAACAAGCAGUUUCCAUUUUGAUCCCUCUGGUUUUGAUUCAUUAUGGACUCUGGCUGACUUGUUCUUGAUGGGUUUUCCUUCUGUAAUAAGGAUUCAUUGGCUUUGGACCUUGGAAGGGCUUCAAUUGGAGUUGGAGUCGGGAUUGGUUGCUAUGUGGUAUGAACUUAAUGCCAUUUUGUCUGUUUCUUGAGCUCAACUAGAGAUUUCCGGCUAAUUUUGGAUUGUUGAAUGAAAACUUCCAGGUGCCAGUUUAUGUUGCAGAGAUCACCCCGAAGAACAUUCGUGGCGCCUACACAUCUGCUGGCCAUGUAAACACUUAUUUGAUUAGGCAGAUGUUAAAUUCGAAUUUCAUGAACUUUUAUUUUCAUUUAACUUAUUAAUCCUUUGUUUGGCCUUGUGCAGUUCAUGUCAAUGUGUGGCUCCUCUCUCCUGUACUUUGCUGGAACUUUGGUCUCGUGGCGCUCUUUAGCUCUCAUUGGUAAUGAAGUUCGGACUUAUUCUUCAACCGUUUCACAAAACAAGUUGUUGUAUGAUUACUGAACUUGCUUACUCCUUUGUGUCAUCUGGAUUUCAGCUGCUGUGCCAUCUGCAUUGCACAUUGUGGGAUUGUUCUUCAUACCCGAAUCGCCAAGAUGGCUGGUGAGUCAAAAGUUUAAUGCUUUUUUAGUUUCUCCUCAAGAAAUGAAAUGAAAACUGACUAAUGAUUUAUGGCUCAUGACUCUGUAGGCUAAAGUUGGGAGAGAAGAUGAGUUGGAAUUGGUUCUACAAAAACUUAGAGGAAAGAAAGCUGUCAUUUCUAAAGAAGCAGCUGAUAUUAUGGUGAGCAAACACGUUCCUUUCUAUAAGCUCUUCUUUGUCGAAUUUAUAUAUAACAGUCAAACUAAGCUUAACUUUGUUACACCAUUUGACAGGAGUCAAUUCAGACAUUGCAAGGUUGUAAAUCAGAGAAGGUUAUCGAUCUGUUCCAGCUCAAAUAUGUACAUGCUAUUGUGGUAAGUAACCCCCCUGUGAAAAAACAAUACGAGUCGAUGAUUCCAUCUGAUUUUGUUCCGCACCGUGUAAUCAUCUGAUUUUGUUCCGAACCGUGUUGUUUUCAGGUUGGGGUGGGACUAAUGCUGUUCCAGCAAUUUAGUGGGGCUAAUGCAAUUACAUACUAUGCAAUGACCAUAUUUGAGGCAGCUGGUAAAAUCAUUAUAUCUCUUUGUGAAUCAUUUGUAAUCAUGAACACUUCCUUCAACAAGAAGUGACAGUUUGUUUUUAUUGUUGUAGAAUUUUCAAGCUACAUUGGGCUGAUAUCAAUGGCAGCAAUCCAGCUUCCUAUCACAGCUAUUUCAGUCCUCCUAACCGACAAGUCGGGAAGGCGACCGCUUCUCUUGGUAGCUAGAAAUUUUGGUCACUGUAUUGUUUUAUUCGGAUGAACUUGUUCCCGACAAUCUUAACUUCUCACAUUGUAUUGUUGUUUUCAGGUCUCAGCCACAGGAAUGUGCUUGAGUUGCUUGCUUAUAGGCCUGGCAUUUUGCCUUCAGGGGUUUCAUAUAGCAAAAGAUUUUGCUCCGAACCUUGUCUGCAUUGGAAUAUUGGUACGUAACUAGUUACACUAGCGUUACAAACGAUUCGAGUUAAUGGGAUGGUGAUGGUUUUUCACACUUUAAACGGUCGCAUUUUUUUACCCGGCAGAGUUUCACGGUGGCUUACUCUAUAGGCAUGGGAGGAUUGCCAUGGCUAAUCAUGUCCGAGGUACACUAAACACAUCAUUUAGUCAUGAACAAAGGUUAAAGGCCUCGUCUCGUAGCGUGUCGUGUAUUAAACAAUGCUGGGUUUUUACAGACAUUUCCAUUAGAGAUAAAGGGAACGGCUGGAAGUCUGGUGACAUUGGUAUACUGGUGUUGUUCCUGGAUUGUCACCUAUUCCUUCAAUUUUCUUAUGGAAUGGAACUCUGCAGGUAAAACUUCGACCCGAACAUGCGAUGGAUGUUUCAUUUACAUAUUUACGAUCGGAAGAUUAACGUACUCGAUAUCAACUUAUGUUUUGUUUUUUAAUAUCAG
rnacentral:lncRNA from 1 species